GAUGAACGCUGGCGGCGUGCCUAAUACAUGCAAGUCGAGCGAACGGACGAGAAGCUUGCUUUUCUGAUGUUAGCGGCGGACGGGUGAGUAACACGUGGAUAACCUACCUAUAAGACUGGGAUAACUUCGGGAAACCGGAUCUAAUACCGGAUAAUAUUUUGAACCGCAUGGUUCAAAAGUGAAAGACGGUCUUGCUGUCACUUAUAGAUGGAUCCGCGCUGCAUUAGCUAGUUGGUAAGGUAACGGCUUACCAAGGCAACGAUGCAUAGCCGACCUGAGAGGGUGAUCGGCCACACUGGAACUGAGACACGGUCCAGACUCCUACGGGAGGCAGCAGUAGGGAAUAUUGCGCAAUGGGCGAAAGCCUGACGGAGCAACGCCGCGUGAGUGAUGAAGGUCUUCGGAUCGUAAAACUCUGUUAUUAGGGAAGAAAAUAUGUGUAAGUAACUGUGCACAUCUUGACGGUACCUAAUCAGAAAGCCACGGCUAACUACGUG
rnacentral:rRNA from 1 species